GUGCUUUGGAUAAAGGUAUCUUGUAAAGUUGAAUGUCACCUUUGUCAAGUAAUUCCACGACUGUGAUGUGGUUGGUUUCAAGGAGGACCACAGGAGUUCCAUUAUAGUCAGACAGCAGUGGAGUUCCCCUGUACCGUACCACCUAGAUGGUAAUCUCGCUGCUGGUCUUCUGUUGGAAACAUUUCUGUUGUGGAGCACGAGUUUCUGCACACCCUUGGCUUCCUACACGAGCAGUCUAGAUAUGACAGGAAAGACUUCAUCACCAUCAACUGGUACAACAUUGGUCAAGGGAUGGACUAUAAUUCACACAUUUGGCGAGGAAAUCACCAGCACCAUGGGUACCCCAUAUGAUUACUGGUCUGUAAUGCACUACAGCCAGAGUGCAUUCAGCUACAAUAAAGGCCCCACCAUUGCCACAAAGGACCCAGGUUUCAAGAUGUGAUUGGUCAACACCUGGACAUGAGGUUUUAUGAUACACUGGAGCUAAACAGACGCUACAAUUGCAAUGACUCCAUCUUCUUCCUGGACCACUGCAGCUUUGAUGAGGGCAUGUGUGAGAUGAGUUCAGCUGGAUGGGAGAGAGUGAG